rnacentral:rRNA from 1 species
UACGAAGGGGGCUAGCGUUGCUCGGAAUGACUGGGCGUAAAGGGCGCGUAGGCGGUUUGGACAGUCAGAUGUGAAAUUCCUGGGCUCAACCUGGGGGCUGCAUUUGAUACGUUCGGACUAGAGUGGGGAAGAGGGUCGUGGAAUUCCCAGUGUAGAGGUGAAAUUCGUAGAUAUUGGGAAGAACACCGGUGGCGAAGGCGGCGACCUGGUCCUUGACUGACGCUGAGGCGCGAAAGCAUGGGGAGCAAACAGG